rnacentral:hammerhead_ribozyme from 1 species
AUUCAGCUGAUGAGUCUCAAAUAGGACGAAACGCGUGUCCUGGAU